CGGGAGGCAGCAGUAGGGAAUUUUCCACAAUGGACGAAAGUCUGAUGGAGCAACGCCGCGUGAACGAUGAAGGCUUUCGGGUCGUAAAGUUCUGUUGUUAGGGAAGAAACAGUGCUAUUUAAAUAAGGUAGCACCUUGACGGUACCUAACGAGAAAGCCACGGCUAACUACGUGCCAGCAGCCGCGGUAAUACGUAGGUGGCAAGCGUUGUCCGGAAUUAUUGGGCGUAAAGCGCGCGCAGGUGGCUAUGUAAGU
rnacentral:rRNA from 1 species